rnacentral:tRNA from 2 species
CGAGAGGUCUAGAAGACCUGCUAACUCUUCAACCUGGAAAA